rnacentral:rRNA from 1 species
CCUACGGGUGGCAGCAGUGGGGGAUAUUGCACAAUGGGGGAAACCCUGAUGCAGCAACGCCGCGUGAGGGAAGAAGGUUUUCGGGUUGUAAACCACUGUUCUUGGUGAAGAGAAUGACGGUAACCAAGGAGAAAGCUCCGGCUAACUACGUGCCAGCAGCCGCGGUAAUACGUAGGGAGCAAGCGUUUUCCGGAGUGUCUGGGGGUAAAGGGGGCGUAGGCGGUUUUGCAAGUCAGACGUGAAAACCACAGGCUCAACCUGUGGACUGCGUUUGAAACUGUGGGGCUUGAGUGUAGUAGAGGUAGGCGGAAUUCCCGGUGUAGCGGUGAAAUGCGUAGAGAUCGGGAGGAACACCAGUGGCGAAGGCGGCCUACUGGGCUUUAACUGACGCUGAGGCACGAAAGCAUGGGUAGCAAACAGGAUUAGAUACCCCGGUAGUC